UUCAGUUAUUUCACACUUUUUUGUGAAGUACACUACUGGUCAAAAGUUUUAGAACACACCAACCUGAUGGUGAAAAUGAAAAUUAUGCAGUUUAAUGUCUCAGUGUACUCUGAAAUUAAUGCACAUUUGCAACAUUUAAAAUUCUUUAUUGAGCAUGAUAGUAUUUUGAAAGUAAAAAAAAGAUUCAAAAUCACAUUUUAUGUUGAACUAAAGGACUAAAAAAAGACACAAAAUGACAAAAAAAGACACAAAAUGACAAAAAAGAAAACCAAAAGACACAAAAUGACAAAAAAAAGACACAAAAUGACUUACAAAGACAUGAAAAGAAUUCAAAAAUGGACAAAAUAGCCCAAGACUCCAUAGAGUUAAGUUGUUAACCCAUUUCUUGUUCCCUGAAAAAGGCCUACUUGUAUAAUUCUGAAAUGUACAUUAUUUUCCAGUUUUGGUUAAGCUUACCUUUUUUUAUUUACCUCUGGCAGUUCACCACUUACCUUUGUACCCUUUCAAGCUGUUCAUUUGACUUGAACUGCUUGAAUUUCAAUAAAAAACUGGAAAAAUUGGGCUGUUCUAAAACUUUUGACCGGUAGUGUACAUAAUUCCACAUGUGUUCAUUAAUAGUUUUGAUGAAUCUACAAUGUAAAUAGUCAUGAAAAUAAAGAAAAACGCAUUGAAUGAGAAGGUGUGUGUCCAAACUUUUGGCCUGUACUGUAGAUGAUAGAUGAUUUUGAUUGAAUAACAUUCAGAGAGUUGGUGAUUUAUAUUUCUUCAUGUAGCUUUUAUUUUAUGAAACACUUUGGGGUCGACCCUCUGAGCAUUGACAUUAGGGUCAUUUAAGAGGUGAGAUGUAUCGAUAGUUGGACAAUAUGUGACUUAGACCGGAGUCAGUCUGCCACGACCUUGGGACAGAAGGCAGUACGUAGAGCGACAAAGGCAGCACCUCACUGUUCUCCAUGCAGCUAAAGUUUGUUUCAUUUCUGCCUUCUGUUUGUGAAUUCCUUGUCUGAAUUGGCGUUGGAUAGCUUAUAUUAGCUGUGUGAGUCUAGUAGAGAUUGUACAUAUGAUGAAAUGUUGUUCUAUUAUGAUUAUAUUUGUAUUUAUUGACAUCUUUAGUGCUAUGGUGCAAAUUUUUCCUCAGUGGAAGUGGCGGUAGCUUUCUAGGCACUGCAGCUUAUCGUGACAGUUUGUUUGAAUCCGAAUACCUACCAUCACUAACUUCAGACAGAGAAACCCAUCUGAAUGAUAUUGAAUACAAAGCCUUAAACAUCACCACAUGGUAGAGGAGUUUUUAAGGGAUUUCAAAAGAUGAUUUUCUUUUUUUUUUGGUGUGAUGUAAACUCCCAGUAAGCAGGGAAAUGCCCACUGGCAGUCUUUCAGCUAGGACCUCUUGGCAUCAGAUUACUAAGCACCUAUUUUGUGUUGUUGCAUUAUAGAUACAAGGAGUUUCUCCAUUGCAUUAGAUUUCUGUAUAUCAGACUUUUUCAGUUGACAAAAUAUCAUUCAAAAUUUGACAUUGACUUCAAAACUUCUCAUCACUUAGCAUACUGUAGCUGAUAGAUCAACCACCUCGGCAUCAAUAUCUCUAACACAUUAUGAUCAUAUAUAUUGCUGCUAUUCACCCCAACUAUAGGAGACAUGGAUCUCAAUACUAUGACUCUCAAAUGGAGGAAAAUACAGACAAAUGUGGGUCUGUUUAGCUGCAUGUGGUCUUUCUAACAAUAAGGAAAAGACAAGUGUGACAAAUGGCGGUAUUGUUCAAUAACGGUUGGCGGUAAGGUGGCUUGUACAACAGUACAUGAAAUGUGAUUUUGUGACAAAACGAUGGCUAAACUGGCAAUCUUUGCAGGCAAAACACGAGCGAUGUCCAAGUGAAGUUCAAGAACUUGUAUUUGUAUUCGUUGAGCCCACUGGAUUGGUUUUGGUUUGAAGAAAAGGGCUCAAUGAAUGGCGAUUAAGUGUGCUUUCAAUCCUUUGUUGAGUAGAAAGUGUCAUAGGGUGGGCUCCAAGGUUAUUAUAGUUAACGAAAACUAACGAAAAAACGAAAACUAGAAUUGAAAAAACAUUUUCGUUAACUGAAAUAAAAAUAAAAACUAGAGUUUUUAAUAACAUUUCUUCAGAUUAUGUUUAUUUAGUCUAUUUUAAGACAAAAAAAAAUUAUUUAUUUAUUUUUCCAAACAAAUGCACCUUUAGUUGUACCAGGCAUUAAAAAGAACAAGAAAUUGAAUAAAAAGGCUGGUAUAAUGAUUUUUUCCAUGCCUGUUUGUGGAGCGUCCUGUAGGGAAGCUGGAGGACAGGAAGCUGUCACCAUGGUUACCUCAUGAUACCAAUCAGGAAUUUGCCAAACUGAUCAAAGUCAUAACUCUUUCCUUCUAUGACUGUGUUCUUUUCUAUCCUUCAACUGAGUGCAUGUCAACUGAAUGUCCAGUAACUUCUUUGCUGUAGUAUUAGGCCAUGCUACUCUUCAAUGGGUUUUGUGCAUUUCUUACCUUCUUUCUUUUUCUAGUAUUCCUAUGAAGGAGACAGAGACUAAAAUCUAUUAUAUAAAAAUAUAUAUAUGACUAGAAAAAUGACAUACAAGAAUGAACAUUCACUUUUAUGGCAAUGUUUAAUGAAAUAUUAAUUCUUAAUGUAUGUUUCAGUAAAAACUGCUUUCUCUUAAGUGUAGAGACUUAAUGCAGGGAUGCAAGUAUUAUAUUUGGUCUUUAAAGAAUAUCUUGUUGAAAUUCUAGAUAAUGUAGAGUGAUGCAAUUCAAUAAAAUGAUAAAACUGAAAAA